rnacentral:tRNA from 1 species
GGGGGUGUAGCUCAGUCCGGUAGAGCGCAGCGUUCGCAAUGCUGAAGUCGUGGGUUCAAGUCCCAUCACCUCCA